rnacentral:rRNA from 1 species
UGCCAGCCGCCGCGGUAAUACGAAGGGGGCUAGCGUUGUUCGGAAUUACUGGGCGUAAAGCGCACGUAGGCGGAUUUUUAAGUCAGAUGUGAAAUCCCAAGGCUCAACCUUGGAACUGCAUUUGAAACUGGGAAUCUAGAGAUCAGGAGAGGUUAGUGGAAUACCGAGUGUAGAGGUGAAAUUCGUAGAUAUCGGAAGGAACACCGGUGGCGAAGGCGACUUCCUGGGCCAAUACUGACGCUGAGGCGCGAAAGCGUGUGUAGCAAACAGGAUUAGAUA